rnacentral:rRNA from 1 species
AGGGCACCACCAGGAGUGGAGCCUGCGGCUUAAUUUGACUCAACACGGGAAAACUCACCCGGCCCGGACACUGGAAGGAUUGACAGAUUGAGAGCUCUUUCUUGAUUCAGUGGGUGGUGGUGCAUGGCCGUUCUUAGUUGGUGGAGUGAUUUGUCUGGUUAAUUCCGAUAACGAACGAGACUCUAGCCUACUAAAUAGAUCGUCGGCUUACAAACGCCGACGAGACUUCUUAGAGGGACAGGCGGUGAUUCAACCGCACGAAACAGAGCAAUAACAGGUCUGUGAUGCCCUUAGAUGUCUGGGGCCGCACGCGCGCUACACUGAAGUGAUCAGCGUGCUUUUGUCAACCUACUCUGUCAAGAGUGGGGAACCCAAUGAACCUUCUUCGUGAUUGGGAUAGGGGAUUGUAAUUAUUCCCCUUGAACGAGGAAUUCCCAGUAAGCGCGAGUCAUAAGCUCGCGCUGAUUACGUCCCUGCCCUUUGUACACACCGCCCGUCGCUACUACCGAUUGAAUGUUU